AGAGAUGAGUAGCUAGCUAAUUAACUAACAGAAGAAACCAGAGUUGCCAUUGUCGAAAUUGAGAUAUAAAUUAUUAAGUUACCUGAUUCGAAGAUGAAGGGUGAAGCCGACGAGUCAACGACAAUUGAAGUGUAGUUCUUUAGUGGUGGUGGUGGACUGGUGGUGGUGGUGAGUGUUGUUCUUUAGUGGUGGUGGUGGUGGGUGUUGUUCUUUAGUGGUGGUGGUGGUGGUGUUUAAUGGUGGUGGUGGUGGAGAUCGAAUUUGAGAGAGAAGGAGAUGAGAGAAU
rnacentral:lncRNA from 1 species